rnacentral:rRNA from 1 species
GACGAACGCUGGCGGCGUGCCUAAUACAUGCAAGUUGAGCGCUGAAGGUUGGUACUUGUACCGACUGGAUGAGCAGCGAACGGGUGAGUAACGCGUGGGGAAUCUGCCUUUGAGCGGGGGACAACCUUUGGAAACGAAUGCUAAUACCGCAUAAAAACUUUAAACACAAGUUUUAAGUUUGAAAGAUGCAAUUGCAUCACUCAAAGAUGAUCCCGCGUUGUAUUAGCUAGUUGGUGAGGUAAAGGCUCACCAAGGCGAUGAUACAUAGCCGACCUGAGAGAGUGAUCGGCCACAUUGGGACUGAGACACGGCCCAAACUCCUACGGGAGGCAGCAGUAGGGAAUCUUCGGCAAUGGACGAAAGUCUGACCGAGCAACGCCGCGUGAGUGAAGAAGGUUUUCGGAUCGUAAAACUCUGUUGGUAGAGAAGAACGUUGGUGAGGGUGGAAAGCUCAUCAAGUGACGGUAACUACCCAGAAAGGGACGGCUAACUACGUGCCAGCAGCCGCAGUAA